CACUACAUUACGGAUACGUUCCACAGUGGCGCCGGUUGGAUUAGGUUCGAUGAUGCAAUAGUGACGCAAGUGACUCUUGCAAAGGUAUUGAAGGCGACGGCACCACGAAUGCCGUAUAUUUUAAUGUAUCGCCGGCAUGAUACACUUCUACCACAUCGGCCUCCCGGCUAACCGGUGUACGUGUGUCCGAGAGAAACUAACUGUAGUGACCUUGAAAGUGAGUGUAAAUAGUAGUGUAUAAAGUUGACUGUGCUGUGUGUCAAAGACUUGUUAUAACAACAAAUUUACUAAAAUUUUAUCUAAUAUUAAGUACCUUUUACCAUAUCUGUUUAGUCAUGUAAGAUUAUUUCUGUUUUUUAUUGAUGAAAUUGUUGUGUAAAUUUAGUGUAAAUAAAUAUUGUAAAUUUAAGAUAAAUGUUUUAUAAAUA